rnacentral:rRNA from 1 species
UACGUAGGGUGCAAGCGUUGUCCGGAACUAUUGGGCGUAAAGAGCUCGUAGGCGGUCUGUCGCGUCGGCUGUGAAACCCCGGGGCUCAACCCCGGGCCUGCAGUCGAUACGGGCAGACUAGAGUUCGGUAGGGGAGACUGGAAUUCCUGGUGUAGCGGUGAAAUGCGCAGAUAUCAGGAGGAACACCGGUGGCGAAGGCGGGUCUCUGGGCCGUAACUGACGCUGAGGAGCGAAAGCGUGGGGAGCGAACAGG